UGGCUCUUAGUGCAGGAGUCACAACAGGCAAUUCAGUAACUCCUAGAAGCUUCACAAGUUGGGACACAACUCCUGUUUUCAAACCAUUUCAAUCCAUUCAUUUGGACCUCAUCAGUAAGCAAAAGAUAAGAAGUGUGACGGUGGCCGUGACCACCAUAAUUACAGAUGUGGGAAGUUGACUUCCUAAGAUCCCAGACACCAGUGGAGAACAGAGUGGCCUGGAGGCCGAGGCAAUUCCUAGCUAGCUAUCUGAGUCUUGGCCUUCAUUCCAGAGAAUCUGGGAGUCCAGCCAUGUCAGAUGCCAUAAAGGGUCAUGGACUUCUGGCUGCUUGUACUCACAUCCCUGGAUAUCUGAGACUUCCUUCUCAUCUUUUAAAAUGUUCACUGUGAAGCCCUUCUUGAUCCAGCUCAGGUGUGUUGGCUGACCCCUUCUCUAUGUGAAUAAAUUUUAACAGCAACUGUGGCUAUUUAGAUAAAUUCAUUAACUAAUUAAUUCAAAUGUCUCUUUAAACUGGUGCAGCCACUCUGGAAAACUGUGUGGAGGUUCCUCAAAGAGUUAAAAAUAGACCUGCCCUACGACCCAGCAAUUGCACUGUUGGGGAUUU
rnacentral:lncRNA from 1 species